GUCGAGCGGACAGAAGGGAGCUUGCUCCCGGAUGUUAGCGGCGGACGGGUGAGUAACACGUGGGUAACCUGCCUGUAAGACUGGGAUAACUCCGGGAAACCGGAGCUAAUACCGGAUAGUUCCUUGAACCGCAUGGUUCAAGGAUGAAAGACGGUUUCGGCUGUCACUUACAGAUGGACCCGCGGCGCAUUAGCUAGUUGGUGGGGUAAUGGCUCACCAAGGCGACGAUGCGUAGCCGACCUGAGAGGGUGAUCGGCCACACUGGGACUGAGACACGGCCCAGACUCCUACGGGAGGCAGCAGUAGGGAAUCUUCCGCAAUGGACGAAAGUCUGACGGAGCAACGCCGCGUGAGUGAUGAAGGUUUUCGGAUCGUAAAGCUCUGUUGUUAGGGAAGAACAAGUGCGAGAGUAACUGCUCGCACCUUGACGGUACCUAACCAGAAAG
rnacentral:rRNA from 2 species